UGCAUAUUUUGUUAGGAAGAUAUUAAUAAAAAUUGUUCGUCUUGAUGAGGGCUACAACUUUGCUUAAUAUUUUUUUAACAAAUUAUGCGUAUUUAAGGAGAUACGUCUACGCAUGCGCAGUAGCGUAACUCUUUACGCUUGCAUAUUUUGUUAAGAAGAUAUUGAUAACAGUUGUUCGUCUUGAUGAGGGCUACAACUUUGCUUAAUAUCUUUUUAACAAAUUAUGCG
rnacentral:miRNA from 1 species